CCAUGUCUGCGACCUACACCACAGUUCAUGGCAACACCAGACCCUUAACCCACUGAGCGAGGCCAGGGAUCGAACCUACAACCUCACGGUUCCUAGUCGGAUUUAUUUCCGCUGCGCCACAACGGGAACUCCAAGAACAUGUUUAUUUUUAGGAGAUGCAUGCUAAAAUAUUAAAAGGUAUAGUGCCACGACGAUUGCAACUUACUUUCAAGUGGUUCAGAAAAAAAAAAAAUAUGUAUAUAUAUUUCAUAUACAUAUACACACAUUUAUAGAGAAAGCAUCUGUUAACCACUAACCUGGAUCCAGGAAUGGUAAACUACAGCCCAAGCCAAAUCCAGCUGAGCCUGUUUUUGUAAAUAACUUUUACUGGAACAUUGCCCUGCCCAUUCAUUAACCUGUUAUCUAUAGCUGCUUUUUCUCUACAACUACAGAAUCGAGUACUUUUAACAGAGACCACAUGGCCUCCAAAGCCUAAAAUAUUUACUGGCCUGUUAGAGAAGUAUAGAAACUAUCCGGCCCUUUACAGAAAAAAAAAUUUACUCACUUCUGAUGUAGAGAGUGAAUAUAUAGUGAUCACAGAAGCUAUAUGGAUUUUUGAUAUGUUUGAAACAAUUUAUUAAGGACUUCAUGACACUCUAGAAAUAGAGAUAUUGAAGAGCCAACGAUCAUCAAAAUUUCCCAUUAAAAAAUUAACAGCAGUAAAAAAAAAUUAAUGGUAGGAUUAAUACAUAUAUUAUUAUAGCAUAAAAGAAUCAUCUCCUUUAUUCCUCACAACUCAUAAGGAAACAUCACUCUCCAUUUUUACAGAUUUCUUUUUUUCACACUCUAAUCCUUUCCAGUUCUUCCCAAAGCAUAUAUAUUUAAAAAAAAUAAAAAACUUUCUACACAUUUAGAAUUUAUCUUGCCCAAACACCUCCAGAACUCUGAGCUUAUUAUUUUUUUCACUUAGUUAUUUUUUUUAAUCCUAGUUAUAGCACACAUAUGCACUUUCUUUACAAAGGGAACAAUAAUGGAAAUCAGAGCAACAGCUGCUUUUGGCUGAGUGCUAAGCCACAGGCAGGUGUCUUUUCUUUUCUUUUUUUUUUUCUUUUUUUUUUUUUGCUUUUCAGGGCCACACCUUUGGCAUGUGGACACUCCCAGGCUAGGUGUCGAAUCAGAGCUACAGCUGCCAGCCUACACCAGAGCUCAGGGCAACACUGGAUCCUUAACCCACUGAGAGAGGCCAGGGCUGUGGUGUAAGUUACAGAAGCACCUCGGAUCUGCCUUUGCUGUGGCUGUGGCAGUAGGCCGGCAGCUACAGCUCCGAUUAGAACCCUAGCCUGGGAACCUCCACAUACCGCAGGUAUGACCCUAGAAAAGACAAAAAAAAGAAAAAAGAAAAAAGAAAACUAUACAUAGAACUACCAUAUGACCCAACAAUCCUACUCUUGGGCAUAUAUCCGUACAAAACUUUCCUUGAAAUAGACACAUGCACCUGCAUGUUCAUUGCAGCACUAUUCACAAUAGCCAAGACAUGGAAACAACCUAAAUGUCCAUUGUCAGAUGACUGGAUUAGGAAGAUGUGGUAUAUAUACACAAUGGAAUACUACUCAGCCAUAAAAAAAGAACAAAAUAAUGCCAUUUGCAACAACAUGGAUCAAACUAGAGACUCUCAUACUAAGUGAAGUAAGUCAGUAAGAGAAAGACAAAUACCAUAGGAUAACACUUAUAUCUGGUAUCUAACAUAGGGCACAAAUGAACCUUUCCACAGAAAAGAAAAUCAUGGACUUGAAGAAUGGACUCAUGGUUGCCAAGGGGGAGGAGGAGGGACUGGGAUGGACUGGGAACUUGGGGUUAAUAGAUGCAGACUAUUGCCUUUGGAAUGUAUAAGCAAGGAGAUCCUGCUGUGUAGCACUGGGAACUAUAUCUAGUCAUUUACGAUGGAGCAUGAUAAUGUGAGAAAAAAGAAUCUAUACAUGUAUGUGUAACCAGGUCACCAUGCUGUACAGUAGAAAACUGACAGAACACUGUAAACCAGCUAUAAUGAAAAAAAAAUCAUUACAUUUAAAAAAAAACAAGUAAUUGAAAAAAAACACUUCCAGAUGUCAGUCAUGAAACCCAGAAAAUUAAACUAAUCAAUAUAUUUAAUCUAAUUUUAUAGAUAUGAUUAUGAAACAUAUUGAAAAGUGGAGAAUUAACCUGAUCUGUACUCCAGCUACAAAAUUUUUAAAACUAUGUAAUUUAAAUGGUUCAUCAAAUUUUGAAGAUUAAAUGUGCCUAAGUAAUUAAAAAAGAAAGAAAGAAAAAGACACAUGCACCCAUAUGUUCAUUGCAGCACUAUUCACAAUAGCCAAGACAUGGAAACAACCUAAAUGUCCAUCAGCAAAUGAAUGGAUUAAGAAGAUGUGGUAUAUAUACACAAUGGAAUACUACUCAGCCAUAAAAAAGAACAAAAUAAUGCCAUUUGCAGCAACAUGGAUCGAACUAGAGACUCUCAUAUUAAGUGAAGUUAAGUCAGAAAGAGAAAGACAAAUACCAUAGGAUAUCACUUAUAUCUGGAAUCUACUAUAUAGGCACAAAUGAACCUUUCCACAGAAAAGAAACUCAUGGACUUGGAGAACAGACUUGUGGUUGCCAAGGGAGGGGGAGGGAGUGGGAUGGACUGGGAAUCUGGGAUUAAUAGAUGCAAACUAUACCUUUGGAAUGUAUAAGCAAGGAGAUCCUGCUGUGUAGCACUGGGAACUAUAUCUAGUCACUUAUGAUGGAGCAUGAUGGAGGAUAAUGUGAGAAAAAGAAUGUAUAUAUGUAUGUGGGAUUAGGUCACUUUGCUGUAUGGUAGAAAAUUGACAGAACACUGUAAACCAACUAUAAUGGAAAAAAUAAAAAUCAUUUAAAAAGAAAAGAAAAAAAAUGAAAAUGUGGUGUAUAUACAAUGGAUUACUAUUUAAUGACAAAAAAGAAUGAAAUCUUGCUAUUUGCAACAACAUAAAUGAAACUUUAGGGCACUAUGCUAAGUGAAAUAAGUCAGAGAAAGACAAAUACUGUAUGAUAUCACUUAAACAUGUGGAAUGUAUAAAAACAGAAGUCAUGGAAACAGAGAAUAGGUCGGUUAUUGCCAGAGUUCACCUGGACAGGAAUAGAGGGUGGAAGAAAUGGGUCAAAGUCAUCAAAAUGUAUAAAUUUCCAGUUUUAAGGUAAAUAAUAUCUGGAGAUGUAAUGUGGUAACUAUAAUUAACAAUACUAUAUUAUAUAUUUGAAAAUUUCUAAGAGAAUAAAUCUUAAAAAAAAUUCAUCACAAGAUAAAAAAAUGUGUGUAAUGAACUAUUAAGUGAUGUUUGUUAACUAAACUUACUGUAGUAAUCAUUUGACAAUAUAAACAUAAACAAAAAUCAUUAUGUUACAUAACUUUAAACUAAUACAAUAUUACAUGUUAACUAUAUCUCAAUAAAACUGGAGGAGGGACCCAUCACAAUGAGAUAACUAUUUCAUAUCCACUAGAAUGGCUGUAUUUUUUUAAAACUGUUGUCGAUGUAAAGAAAUUGGAGCCCUCGUAUAACGUAGAUGGGAAUGUAAAAUAGUGCAGCCAUCGUGGAAAACAUCUGUCAGUUCCUAAAAAAGUUAAACAUAGAAUUGCCAUCUGACCGCAAUUCCGCUCCAAAAGGAAAAACAUACAUUCAAACAAACACUUGUCCAUAAAUGUUCACAGUAGCAUUAUUCAGAAUAGCCAAAAAG
rnacentral:lncRNA from 1 species